UUUCAUUUAAAUCUUGUCUUUCUUCUUCUUGAGAACUCGUGCAACCCGGGGGAUCAGGGGAAAAGAAGCAGGUGGUACAGAAAACAUGAGGCGCCAGAGGGGAAGAAACACAGGCACAAGUGUACCGACGAUGAGGAGGCCGCCUACGACCACAACCGUGAGAGGUGCCGUGCACUGUGUGCCGCACUGAGUCUCCGGAGCCCGGGCAGCACUCUGCAGCGUCCUUGGGGCUGCAUCUUCUCUACGUCAGCCCAGUAGUUGCCCUUUCCCACCUGUUACCUUCUGUAAUUUGUGAUGCUGCAGGGAAGGGACCCAGGAAACCGACGCCACCGGCAGCUGUAGGGUUGGCUAGUUCCAGAUGGCUGAUUCUCACGUGGCAUGAAAGGCGGUCAGCAGUGCGGACGAAGGGAUUUAUUCUGUUGGGUUGAGGCAGGGGUCCAUCUCUGCGGUCUCCAGUCCAACAAGAGAGACGGGCUGAAGACUACACUGGAUUGAAGGCAGCGUCCCCUCAUCCUAAGGGCUCACUGCUUUCUGCCCUGCUAGUUCAGCCUCCCGAGAGGUCUGUGGUCAAGUGAAGGAGUCAUGAUCUCGACACAGGCUGCCCAGGGGCCACGGCUUCUCGGCACUUUUCCCAGAUACCUGAUGAUCUGCUUGGGAGGUAGACUGCGAACACAGCAUCCUGUUGACUAAGUAUCACUUUACUUCUCCUGACUAGCCUCAAACAACGCAUCCCUGUUCCACCCUCCAAAACGCUGGCUUGCGUUCGCCUCAGCCCUAACUCCGUACCAGGCAAGAACAGGAUCCGGUUUUGCUUUUUAAUCGACAGGGUCACCGUGUUAUUGUUACCUUGUUCACACUUUUCUGUCUGCUGAGUGCUGUUUAGGUGGAGCCAAGAAAUGUGUAACAUUUGGCAAAUGGUCGACUCCUGAAGGGUAUGGAGACGUGGAGCUCUCUUGAGCUAGCUAGAAAUCUAAAGGCAAUGAAAUAAAACGAAAGA